UGCUCUGAUGCUCACAGGCUUUGCGAAACAAAAUAGAAAUGUAAGUCUGGUUCAAACCAAAUAUAGACAUGAGCUGUGACUACUAUGAUUAAGAUCUAAAUUUGGUUUGGACUAUGCUCACAUUUCUGAUGGAUAAUUUUUUAUGGCAGCGAGUAUUGUUAUACAGCGAACAAGUAUAACCAUAAAAACAAUCUCUGCGCAUUAUGGAUUGAAUCUGAUAGAUCGCGCAUCUGUAGAUCACUCCAGGUCAACAGAUGAGUUCAGGCAGACAGUUUAAUGACCUUCACUCUAGUCUCCCAAAAAGCUUGCGCUGAAAGGCUUUAGCUUGUGCGGAGAGAGAAUGCUAGGUUUGGCACCUCAAACAGACAGAUUCAGUAGCUAAAAUUGUUGCAGUUUACUGGAUUACAGGGAUGAGAUGAGUCUGUGUGAUGUGGACUUCAAGGGAAUGAACUUGUCCUCAUGGCUGUUUAGAGCAUGACUCAGAGGGCCUUCAGUCUCUUGCUAAGGACUUUUUCAUGGUUGAGCGGAUUGAGGAUAGUGUUGGUGGUGCUGCUUAAAGAGGUAGCAUGAGUGGAUACUCACUUUCCCUCAUGGAUCCCAGUGGGUUUUGCUGUCCUCUUACCACUUUAUGAAGAUGAGACAGGAGCUGAAGAGAAACUAUAAUGGUAUUUGUUGUUUUGCAGAUGGGGCUGAGAAAUAUGGAGUACAAAACAAUACCAGGAGUCACCUACUGUAUACAUUGAUAAACCCUUUUACUCAAAGUGACUUAAACCAUCUAUUUAAAGUGACUUCGGCUAGUUAUCCCCAUUGACUUAAGCUAUUUAUUCAAAAUUACUUAAACUAUUUAUCCAAUGUGAUGUAAACAAUUUAUUUAAAGUGAUAUAAGCCAAUCCCUACCAAGUGUAUAAAUCCACAGCCAUCAUUUGACCUCAUCAGUCUUGCUCCAUGUUUUAAAUUUUCAUUCUGAUUUAUCCUGGUUAGGGUCAAGGUGGAUCUGAAGCCUUUCCUGGGAAUACUGGGUGCAAGUUUUGCUGGAAGAAGUGGAAGGAUUGCGUUUCCACAUCUCAUAUGUGGCAGAGGAGGAGGACAAUGGGAAAGGAAGAUGAAAAAUGUAGAAACAAGAAAAAAGGCCAAAUGGAACAUGAUACUGAUAGGUGAAAAGAACAUACACAAACUCAAAUAAAUAUCAGUGUACUGUAGUGCAGUACCAUGACUCAUGAUGACAAUCUUUGAUUCUACCUCAGUCAAGACAGCAGAGCUGCCUUCUCCACAUAACAGUCUGCUCUCAUGUGAUAUUAACUGAUACGCACUCUAGCAGUCAUGCAAUAGUGAAAUUUCUGUGUGCUGACAUAUUGAAACACCGAUGUGUUAUGCGAUAAAUACUUGUUACUAUACAUGUACUGAAAAAUGUGGCCACUGGUCUGCAUAUGGAAAGAUCUUCUAUAAUGCACAGCAGAAUUGAAAAGGCUGAGUGUUUGGGGGAGUGG